UAUUUCCAGCCAACUUAUCUUCCUAUUUUGCCUAUGGGCUCUUCAACAUGUCAUCUCUCUCUACACGGUAUUUGCAGCCAGCUUCUCCUGAAACAUUUCUGCUGACAACACUCAAGUCAAAGUGUACCUCUUCAAUGGAGUUUUCAGUGACAAAGCAAGAAGUAGAAAUGAGAGAAAAAGAAAACAAGAAUGUUGGUGGAUUGCUAAAACUGUUCUUCAUCUUCUGUGAUUUAAUAUUGGUUUGUCAUAAGGAAUAAGGAUUAUGAAGGAUUAUGUCAUUGAGAGAAGUCAUAUGUAGAGAAGUGGCAUGCAUGGCCUUAGGAUUGAUUGAUUUUUAUUUUUUUAAGUCAAUGAUAUGGCUUGGUUCUGUGUUCCCACCCAAAUCUCAUCUUCUAGCUCCCAUAAUUCCCACAUGUUUUGGGAGGGACUGGGUGGAAAAUGAUUGAAUUAUGGGGGUGGGUCUUUUCCAUCCUGUUCUUGUAAUAAUGAAUGGGUCUCACGAGAUCUGAGAGUUUUAAAAAUGGGAGUUUCUCUGCACAAGCCCUCUCAUUGCCUGCUGCUACCGUGUAACCAGUGAUCUUUGUUUACUGUGAGAUGCUCUCUAUUGCCUCAGGCAAUGAGCUGUCCUAUAGAGUGCACAGUGGUCUGUGCUCCCUGCUUGGUUCCAGAGAGGGAAAACAAGCUGGGUGGGGUUGAACUGGGUAAAAACAAGCUGGUUGGGGCUGGACUGGGCAAGUCCAUCUAUACAUCCCUUAAUAGCAGGUGUAAGUAAGGCAUUUGAAGAUCUGCCAAAAACAUAAUAAAAAAGAGCUGCUGGACUGACAUUGUGUCUGUGACAAUGCAGUAGAAAAUGAACACCAGGGGUGAGUUCAAAGAUGAUCUUAGAAUCUAUAUCUCUAUAAAUAUCAAUCUAUUUUAGAUUCAAUCAAGGUGAUUCUGUGAUCAUUCACCAGUUUCCAUUAAGUAAUCAAUGUUUAAAUAAUGAACACCUUAACUAAUAUUCUUUUGAGAUAAUUAUACUUUGUAUGAUCUAAGAAAACAGUGAAGAUAUCCACAAGGGCAGUGCAUAUUAUAACAGCAAGGAAUGUUUAUUUUUUUUAUUUUUAUUUUUUAUUUUUGAGACUUGGUCUCGCUCUGUCACCCAGGCUGGAGUGCAGUGGCACGAUCCGGGCUCACUGCAACCUCCGCCUCCUGGGUUCAAGCGAUUGCCCUGCCUCAGCCUCCCAAGUAGCUGGGACUACAGGCAUGCACCACCAUGCCCAGCUAAUUUUUUUUUUUUUUUUUUUUGAGAGCGAGUCUUGCUCUUGUUGCCCAGGCUAGAGUGCAAUGGCGCAACCUUGGCUCACUGCAACCUCUGCCUCUUAGGUUCAAGUGAUUCUCCUGCCUCAGCCCCCUGAGUAGCUGAGAUUACAGAUGCCCGCCACCAUGCCCAGCUAAUUUUUGUAUUUUUAGUACAGACAGGGUUUCACCAUGUUGGCCAGGCUGGUCUCGAAUUCCUGACCUUGUGAUCUGCCUACCUCGGCCUCCCAAAGUUCUGGGAUUACAGGUGUAAGCCACCGCGCCUGGCCGCUAAUUUUUAUAUUUUCGGUUGAGACGGGGUUUCCCCAUAUUGGCCAGGUUGGUCUCGAACUCCUGACCUCAAGUGAUCUGCCCGUCUCGGCCUCCCAAAGUGCUGGGAUUAUAGGUGUAACUCAUUGCGCCCGGCCAGCAAGGACUCUUAUACCAUAACUUGACCAAUCCUU
ensembl:lncRNA